rnacentral:rRNA from 1 species
CCUACGGGAGGCAGCAGUGGGGAAUUUUCCGCAAUGGGCGAAAGCCUGACGGAGCAACGCCGCGUGAGGGAUGAAGGCCUCUGGGCUGUAAACCUCUUUUAUCAAGGAAGAAGAUCUGACGGUACUUGAUGAAUAAGCCACGGCUAAUUCCGUGCCAGCAGCCGCGGUAAUACGGGAGUGGCAAGCGUUAUCCGGAAUUAUUGGGCGUAAAGCGUCCGCAGGCGGUCUUGUAAGUCUGUCGUUAAAGCGUGGAGCUUAACUCCAUUUCGGCGGUGGAAACUACAAGACUAGAGUGUGGUAGGGGCAGAGGGAAUUCCCGGUGUAGCGGUGAAAUGCGUAGAUAUCGGGAAGAACACCAGUGGCGAAGGCGCUCUGCUGGGCCAUAACUGACGCUCAUGGACGAAAGCUAGGGGAGCGAAAGGGAUUAGAUACCCCUGUAGUCCUAGCCGUAAACGAUGAACACUAGGUGUCGGGGGAAUCGACCCCCUCGGCGUCGUAGCUAACGCGUUAAGUGUUCCGCCUGGGGAGUACGCACGCAAGUGUGAAACUCAAAUGAAUUGACGG